CCUCACGGAACCGGACGGUGACGUCCCACUCCUCGGGCGCCGCGCUCCUCCCCCGCGUCCUCUCAGACAGGACACCGGCCCCGCGGUGCUGCGGGCAGCGCGGCCCCGCUCCCUCAGCGCCCCCUCCGCACAGACCCCGCUCAGGCGCACCGCCCAUCCCCUCCGCCACCGCGCAGCCCCACCGCGACACGGGGCCCGCGGCGCCGACUGACCCAGCGCAGCGCAGCAGCUCUCCCGACCCCCACUCGGGCAGAUGUUGUGUGUGAAGACCCUGCUACGCUACAAAGUAUUGCUGCGUUUGGGACCCCAACAUCGUGGCCUUCCCAGAGCUGAUUUUAUGGCAAUAGGGGUGGCCCGCAGGAACUCACCCAACAACAUAUUAGCAGAUAAAGAGAAACUGUUUUUCUCUGUGUUUUUGUUAUGCUCGGUUUUGUAGCUGAGCUGUGAAGUUGUUAUAAUUUCACUCUGUCCUGUCCUGUGUUGGGGGUUAGUGCUGUUAUAGGAAUGGUGCUCUAUGUUGCCCCUCAGUCUGCCAUUCAAACAGAGGACUAUCUUCCAUUUAUUCAUGCCCUGCAGGUCUAAUUGUGUUUAUCGGUAAUUUGUGACAUUUCACCGGAUGUUGUAGGCAAAACAAAUGUUAGUGUCUGAUGGUGUAUAUCUGGAAAGUGUGUAAUGCAUCUAAACUGCUGAGGUCUCUGUGUUAGUGUUGCAAGCUUCAAGGAAAGAAAGGUAGGGGGAAACAUGCAAUAAAAGGAAAUUAUAGGUGAAAGCUCAUUUUUAAGUGAAAAAGAUAAUAGGAAUUCCUCUGGAUAAGGAGAAGGGGAGGGUUGGUGGAAAGUGAUUCCCUUGUUAAACACAGACAUGAACUAUUCUAGUAACAAACCCUUGGUAUUUAGGAAAACAUUAGGAGCCAUCACUUCUCCAGGUGUGUUUUCUACUGAGUGAAGAAAGAGAAUAAAGAAACUUUAGAGAAAACAGUAUUUAGAAAAACAAUUGUCUAUUUAUUUUCUCUUCCCUGUUUUUAGGAUUUAUUAGUUCAAGGAAUUUGUUGUAAAGCAUUGAUAGAACUGAACACUUUCAAACAUGGUUUGAUGUGUUAAACUUAUCAAAAAUUUGAUGUCAUGCCAGGUAUAUUAUAAAAUUGUACCAUUAAUUUUUUUUUUGUCAAAAACUAGAAAUAUAGUCAGCCCUGGUGUUAAUUUAAAAGAAAAAAGGGAGGGGGCUUUAUUUUGUCAAACUGAUAUUGCAUUUCCUUCCAUAAUUCACUGUAGCUAAAAAUUACAAUUUAGGCCCUAAAUGGAUUCAAGGAAUACUCAUGUGUUCAUUUUAUUAAAGAUGUACAUCAGUAUGGAGCAAGUAGGAAGAGGGUGGGAUGGAAAAUGCUGUUUCAUGUUGACUUACUUAACCUGAAGCAAAGUCUACAUGUAAUUAAGCUUCCCAGCGCACUUUUUUUUCCUCCCUGAGGAGUUACUUAAAUAUGGUUGGGUCAGAUAAGCUCAGACUUUGCCAUGAUGCAGCAGACAAGUCUCAGCUAUUCUUUAAGAGGAUACAAAAUUGUGCAGUAAUUAGAGCACAUGGAUCAGUUUAUAGCACUCUUCUUAAAUGUCUGCCCAAAAACUUAAGGUUGAUGACCUGAUCUCCUUUUACACAGAAAAAAAAGACAGAAAAAACAAGACAAGGGAAUUGGGGCUUUAUGUUAUAAAACUUGCACUGAAUAGAGGUGCUGUUUGCAGAAGUCCCAAAGAGAUCCAGAAAGACAAGGUUACAAGAUCUGUUUCCAGUGGGCAAGACAAACUCUAUUUAAACCAUGUGUGUACCUGUUGGAAAACAUGUUUUUCUUAUUCAAUAAAAAUUAACAAGCUGAAUGAGAAUUGCUAAUACUUAA